rnacentral:rRNA from 1 species
UUAAAAAGCUCGUAGUUGGACUUUGGGGUGACUGCGCGCGGCGCGCCUUACGGUGACGGCUGUGUGCGGCGCCCUUCCUUCAGCUCGGCCCUGCUGCGAUUCGUUUCGUGGCGGGUGCAUCCGGACUGAUCGUCUACUUUGAAUAAAAUAGAGUGUUCAAAGCAGGCCAGCGCUUGAAUACGUUAGCAUGGAAUAAUAGAAAAGGACUUUGGUACUAUUUUGUUGGUUUCUAGGACCGGAGUAAUGAUUAAUAGGGAUAGUUGGGGGCAUUAAUAUUUAAUUGUCAGAGGUGAAAUUCUUGGAUUUAUGAAAGAUUAACUUCUGCGAAAGCAUUUGCCAAGGAUGUUUUCAUUAAUCAAGAACGAAAGUUAGAGGAUCGAAGACGAUCAGAUACCGUCGUAGUUCUAACCAUAAACUAUGCCGGCUCGGGAUGCGGGGGUGUUUUAUUCACGACCCCCUGCGCACCGUAUGAGAAAUCAAAGCCUUUGGGUUCCGGGGGGAGUAUGGUCGCAAAGCUGAAACUUAAAGGAAUUGACGGAAGGGCACCACCAGGAGUGGAGCCUGCGGCUUAAUUUGACUCAACACGGGAAAACUUACCAGGUCCAGACACAGU